rnacentral:lncRNA from 1 species
UCGCAGUCCAGAGCCACGCCCCCUGAACGCAUAUACGCUUACGGAUCAGACGACCAGAGACCAUAUUACUACAAUACAUCAUGUUAUUCACCGGUGAGAAAACGUCAUACUACAGUUAGUAAAAGUACUACAAUACCAGGAAGGAAGAUCAGGUUGAUGUUUGCCUGCCAUUCCCACAAUAGUAUCCAGCUGCAACCCCGCAGCCCCACACGUUUCAGGACACACAAUCCAGACCAUACGAUCCAGGCCGGAAGUGAGGGGCGGAGUUAGUAAAACGUAACAACAUGGCGGAGAGCAGGGGAAUGGAUGUGUGGACAGCUGACGCAUAUGUUGUGGCUACCUGGUUACCUCCAAAUAAUUUGGACCCAUCACUGUCUUUUCCAUAAGAUGACAGCUAAAAUUGCACCUGGCACAUGGAUGCUACUAAAAAACAAGGUUAAUUUUGUAAUUGGGACAUAUGUCAAUCUCUUACACACAACCUAAAUAUUUUUCUUUUUCAUUUUUUUUUAAGGAUGUCCCCCAACAGAUUGGCUAUGUGGACUGUGGAUUUUCAUUCAGGGAAGACAUGGAGAUUUUUUUAGUUGAAUGCCAUGAAAAAAUGGGGUUAAAAUUGAAUUCUUCGUUUGAAGAGUGAAAAGUAUAAGACUUUCAAAAGCUUUUUUUUUUUUUUAUAUUACAAUUAAAUUUCUAAAUUUUAAUUUUAGUUCUAUUUUUGGUUGUUGAAAUGUUUUUUUUUUAUUAGUAUGUUGCACUUUUUCCAUGUUCAAUUUGAAUUUUAAAAUAAAAAGUAUUCUUGACAUCAAACGUC